rnacentral:rRNA from 1 species
AUUGAACGCUGGCGGCAUGCCUUACACAUGCAAGUCGAGCGCGAAAGGGGGCAACCCGAGUAGAGCGGCGGACGGGUGAGUAACGCAUCGGAACGUGCCCAGUAGUGGGGGACAACCUCGAGAAAUCGAGGCUAAUACCGCAUACGACCCACGGGUGAAAGCGGGGACCGCAAGGCCUCGCGCUAUUGGAGCGGCCGAUGUCCGAUUAGCUAGUUGGCGGGGUAAAGAGCCCACCAAGGGCGACGAUCGGUAGCUGGUCUGAGAGGACGACCAGCCACACCGGGACUGAGACACGGCCCAGACUCCUACGGGAGGCAGCAGUGGGGAAUUUUGGACAAUGGGGGCAACCCUGAUCCAGCCAUGCCGCGUGCGGGAAGAAGGCCUU